rnacentral:rRNA from 1 species
UCUACAUUCAUACCACCUAAAUAUGCCUGAUCUCAUUUGAUGUCAGAAACUAAACAAGGUCAGACCUGGUUAAUACUUGGAUGGGAGAUUGCCUGGGAAUACCAAGGAGCAGUAAGAC